rnacentral:rRNA from 1 species
CCCUUAGAGUUUGAUCCUGGCUCAGGAUGAACGCUAGCUGGAGGCUUAAUACAUGCAAGUCGAGCGGGAUUGGUCAGCAAUGGCCAUGAGAGCGGCGCACGGGUGAGUAACGCGUACACGACCUACCUCUAACAGGGGGAUAGCCCUGGGAAACUGGGAUUAAUACCGCAUAUAAUUCUGAUUUUAAAAGUUCAGGAUGAAAGUUCAGGCGGUUAGAGAUGGGUGUGCGUCUGAUUAGCUAGUUGGUAAGGUAACGGCUUACCAAGGCGAUGAUCAGUAGGGGGCGUGAGAGCGUGGACCCCCACACGGGUACUGAGACACGGACCCGACUCCUACGGGAGGCAGCAGUAAGGAAUAUUGGACAAUGGCCGCAAGGCUGAUCCAGCCAUCCAGCGUGCAGGAAGAAGGCCCUAUGGGUUGUAAACUGCUUUUGUCAGGGAAUAAACCUGUGGAUUUACUCCGCAGCUGAAGGUACCUGAAGAAUAAGCACCGGCUAACUCCGUGCCAGCAGCCGCGGUAAUACGGAGGGUGCGAGCGUUAUCCGGAAUUACUGGGUUUAAAGGGUGCGUAGGCGGCUUUGUAAGUCAGGAGUGAAAGUUUGCGGCUCAACCGUAAAAUUGCUUUUGAUACUGCGAGGCUAGAAUUAGGAUGAGGUCAGCGGAAUGUGGCAUGUAGCGGUGAAAUGCAUAGAUAUGCCAUAGAACACCAAUUGCGAAGGCAGCUGGCUAGACCUGUAUUGACGCUGAGCACGAAAGCGUGGGGAGCGAACAGAUUAGAUACCCUGGUAGUCCGCGCCCUAAACGAUGCUUACUCGACGUACGGCGCUUGUCGUUGUGCGUC